GAUACUCACAAAGCAACACAAGCUUCCUCCUAUAAGAAGGUGCCGCACGGAAGAAUCUUUUCUCUAAGAGAAAAUAUAAUUCACUCAGUCACAGGAAUGAACUGGAUAAGCAUUUUCCUGCAGCUGCUGGCGGUGACUUUGACCAUGGCACUCUAUCAAAUCUACAAAGAUUGAUUGUGCUACCGUGAAAUGCUCCGGCCCUCCAUUGUAUAAAGGCUGCACCGAAAUACGGGAAUCUUCGGGAUCUUGUUGCCCUAAGUGGCUGUGCAAGGUUGUCUGCGCUGAUGGAUCAACCUGCAAGCCAUACAUUUUCCCCGACUGCCUACCUGUGUUUAGCAUCGGAACCUGUUGCCCAGAUUAUACACCUUGCAAGGGUAAUCACUAAAUCAAGGAGCCGACGCCUUGCUUACCAGAGGCAGAGAGUAUCAGUGCAAAUUAUUUUUGAAGAAUUAAAUUAAUGAUGUUGUAAAUGUAAAUUGAAGGCGGAUUAUAGCAUUGUGUUCUUGAUUUAAUUGGACUGUUUGAUUUAAUUGGAUUAUUCUCAAUAAAUUUGCACGCAUCUGA